rnacentral:tRNA from 1 species
GGAUUUAGCUCAGCGGCAUAAGUGCCUGCCUUGCAAGCAGGCAGUCCUGAGUUUGAUUCCCAGUAUCUA